rnacentral:tRNA from 1 species
GGAGAGAUGGCUGAGUGGUCGAAAGCAACGGUCUUGAAAACCGUCGUAUCGCAAGAUACCCAGGGUUCGAAUCCCUGUUUCUCCGCCA